GAUGAAGAACGCAGCGAAAUGCGAUAAGUAAUGUGAAUUGCAGAAUUCAGUGAAUCAUCGAAUCUUUGAACGCACCUUGCGCUCCUUGGUAUUCCGAGGAGCAUGCCUGUUUGAGUGUCAUGAAAUUCUCAACCUUUUCAGCUUUCUUUGUUGAUCAGGCUUGGAUGUGGGAGUAUGCGGGCUUCUCAGAAGUCGGCUCUCCUGAAAUGCAUUAGCGGGACCUUUGUUGCCUGGCUUUGGUGUGAUAAUUAUCUACGCCAUUGUAGUCAAGCAGCUUAAAAUGAGGUUUCAGCUUCUAACCGUCUCCCCUGAGACAACUUUUUGACAAUUAGACCUCAAAUCAGGUAGGACUACCCGCUGAACUUAAGCAUAUCAAUAAGCGGAGGA
rnacentral:misc_RNA from 1 species